GUAUCAACUUGCGGGUGUGAUCUCUCCCUCCCCUCCCAGCUCCAUAGAGCAUCUACGCAUCCAAUGGUUGUGGUAGUAGGGGUUGAUCAACUUCCUUCACUGUGUGUUUCAUUUAUUUUCCGUCUUCAAUACCAUAGACCCUCUUUAUCAUCGAAAACAGAAAAUGGAUCGAAUGAGUUUCUCAUCAAAACAGAAAAUGGAUCGAAUGAGUUUCUCAUCAAUUUUGUAGUGUUGCGAAUUCAGCGAUUACGUUUCCUGAGAUAUUCCCCUCUAUUCUUCUAAUCAAUUGUUCUAAAACCCUAUCAAAUUUUACUUGCUUUUUUUUGUUCUCCAGAUCAAAUUCUGGAAAUAAGACCUCCGAUUAGGUUUUGUUGUUGUUCAUAGCAAAAUAAGUAGGAGCAUUCGAAUCAAAACUAAGGUUUUCCACUUCUGUUAUUAGUUCACUUUCACAAUUAUACUAUCUUCGUCAUACUAAUUUAUUCAGGGUUAUAAUGGUGGAAGCGAUGAAGAUGCCUGCUGAAGCUCUUGACGGAAAAAAAAUCUGUAGAUGAAACUGCAUCUACUCUUUCGCAACAACAACCUCCAUCUGUAAACUUCAUUCUGAUUUUUGAUCUGCUAUUGAUUUUUUGUUUAGCAGCUGGGCGUGGUGCCGAAAGAGGUGAAUGAGUGACGGAGUAUCAAAAAAAAAAAAAAAUUCACAACUGUACAUAAGACUGUCGUUCUGCUUCAAGUUGAUGGUGUGAAUUUUAUUGCAGAAUUCUUUGCUAAGCUUGAAGACAGAAGGUAAAUAACAACAGAAAAGUGAUUAUUCCCCUGAAGUGUUUGAGAAAAUGCUUGAAAAAGAGUUCUACCUGGAAAGAUUACGAUUAGAACUCUCAUUGCUAGGCUGUGGAAGUAAUGAGGUAAGUGUUUCCAUUGAAUUGUGUAAGAAGAUGGUGAAUGGGAAUGAUUUGUUUACUGCUACCGUAAAUGGUCAUUGCAAAGGCGUUUUAAUCGGUUGGGCUUUUAGUUUCUUCUUUGAAAUGGUUAGUGAUUGGAGCAUUCCUCCUAUGUGUUCCUUUACAGAUUUCUGAUUAAUAUACUUUAUGUUUCUGGGGGAUUAAGUACAGUCAUAAGAACCUCGACCAUUGGAAUUUUAAGUGCAAGUUCAUAAGAACAUAGAGAGUGGUGCAAAAAAUCCUGAGAUUGCAUACAAAAAUACAUUGCAGGAUGGUUUUCAAGGUUUUAGUUUUCAGGAGUUCUGGCCAGACUCUGAAUUAAAUAAGUCUUUAGUUUCUUAUUGCUGAAAUUUAAGAUGCAUGGUUGAUAGUAUGAAAGUGACCUCUAGCUUUCUGCUUCUUCUUUUUCCCAAGGAAACACAAUGAGACAUUGUAAUUGCAGAUGUGUCUGGACUAUUUAAGGAUAAGUUUAGUUUUCUUAGGUACAUGUUCUGUCUGGGGCUUCCCAAAUUGAGAGAUUGAAAUUUGGACUAUUCAUGGUCCAAACACAAUCAGAGAUUGUAAUUUGGACUAUUGAUAGGAUAAGUUCAGUUUUCAGAAUGAUUCAACGUGUUAAGGUGAUAUUUAAGGUAUUGAAAAAUAUUUUGAAUUUGAUUCAGAAAAAAUAAGAAGAUUUUUAGUUUUCCGAAGUAAAUUGCAGAUGACUAACCAUAGCUACUCAGUAAUGUUCUUCUUCUUCUUCACCUGUUGGUGUAAGGAAACAAGUAAUAGAGUUACUUCUUUCGAAUUACUAUUAUAGUUAGAUCUUCCUGAUUAUGUAUAGUUAUAAUUAUCUUUCUCUUUUACAUGGAUACUGUGGUACUGCUUAUUAUCUGAGUUGUAAAGCUAAGUUUGACGAAGUUUUCCCUAAUGUGAAUGGUAUGGAUAAAUUUUAUACGUUUUCUGGAUUCCUGGGGGUUUUCGAGGAGGGUGAAAUUUUUCAUGAGCAAGAAUUCAAGGAGUCUGUUGAACUGUCGUCCAAAGAGGCUCUUAAAGAGGAUGACCAAGAAGAUGACCGUGAAGAUGGGUUAUUGGAAGAAAAGAAUAGAGUGUCUGUGAACCAAGGAGAAGACAAUUUCUUAGAGAAAUGGGAGACUGGGGAUGAAGAUGAACUAAAAAGGAAUUAUGAAGGGUCGAGCAACAGUAGCAUGAGUAUCAAACAGGGUGAGAAUUUUCCACGCCUAACAAAAAGAGACUCACAUUUGCAGCUUCUGAAUUUUCAGCGGUUAGAAACAUCUGCUGUGAUGGCAGUUGGAUUGCAAGAGUUAUUAAGCUCCAUCGACAAUAAAUUAGAUUCAUAAGGAGUGGUUGAAAAGAGAACGAUGCUUGCUUCAAUCUUAAAUGGAUACCUCUGAUGGUUUUUCAAA